UCAAAUUCAAUAAAGCCUAAUAGUCAUCCAAUCCUACAACUUUCUUCCCCUUUGCUAAUCUCAUAGUACCACUUAUCACAAUAUCAUUCUUUGUGUUUUUCUCCCAUGACAGAAGUUUGUGGUUGUGGACAAUCCUCAACUUAUUGAGCAAUGAUUUUCUGAUUGUCCUGCAUACAAAACACAGACCUAUUUAAAUACUGUCAACUAACAUAAAUUUAAAAAUUGCACAAAAUGCACUAACUUACAUUUCCCCCAUAUAUGUCUCCAUAUGCCUCAUGACAAAAAUGCCACAGUCAACACCGUUGUCUACGGUGGCCACCGUUGACUAUGAGUUUUCUGUUUUUUCACUGCUGCCCUAGCAUCAUCAUCUACUCCCAUUUGGAUAUUUAGUUAAGGCCAAUUUUCUUUUUCCACAUUUUAUUGUUGUUCAUCCCCUUUUCACAGCAGCCGCACUCCUAGACUUGGACUUACUGUCCACCACAUUGAUAACUUCCAUUUCCACGACAUCCUUGUCCUGUACAUGAGAGAAUUUUAAUUCACAACGUCCACAUCAAUUAUAGAAUUAACAUGAAUAGUCUACUAUAAACAUUGUUUUUAUUUGUACAUUAACUAGGGAUCAAUGGACUUCUAAACUCGUAGACUAAUAGACUAUUAGUCUAAGUUAUUUUCGUAUGUACUAAUAUUCCAACUGUGUUCAUGUACUAAUGUUCUAACCGUCACACCGUCUUGCACAUAGUAUUCUCAUAAAGACUUAAAGAUUUAUUUUAUGUGCACAAUAAAAGCUCAUAAACUAGGCGUCUCAUAUAUAUACAUAAUAUAUGUGUUUACCUCUGCUGCUCGUGUAGUUCUCCUCACAUUGGUAUCAUUCCCCCCCACUGUACAGUGGGGGAACACAUGUGUUUCUUUGUUUCUUUCUUUUCUUGGUAUUAUUUCAACAUCUAUCUAACAAAUUGUUCAGUAGGGGUGACAAAGACAUCGUCUUCGUCACUACUAUGUGAGCCUUGAUUUAGCACCCGCCUUGCGCCAUUCGGACCUAACGUCAAUGUCGCGCGGAACAUAUCCAAGGAUGUUACCAACACCGUGUCCUGUUUGGUUGUUUGGUCCCAUUGAAACCCGGCCAUCAGCACUCCCCCCUUCGUCUUCGAGGUUUACAUACAGAGGCGAUGUUUUCAGCUUGUUAAUCCAAGCAUUUUCAAACAAUCUGCACUCCUGCGAUGUGCUGCAAAAAGGAUCAACAAAUCAAUUUAGGCUCUUUUUAAGAUUAAUAUUGAUACACUUUACAGGACUAACCCCACUUAUUUCAGUUUACCUCCCCAAAGAUAAAUGAAUUUAGUUCAAUACCAGUCCUAACAAAUUACACUAAACAGCGGGAAAAAAUUUCAGUAUCCUUAUGCAAUUAUGAUUAAAAAAAAGUAUCUAAUAAUAGGUACAAAGGAGACAUAUUAAGAAACCCACAACUUAUGAGCCAUUCAACAUCGGAAACAAGACAAUGACUAUAUGCAACAAAAGAUAUAAUACGAUUACUAGUUACAACAAAUUUCAGCACACAUAAUGGUCACUCAAAACAACCUGUUUAGGGAACAUUCAAAAUCGACGUAAGCAAUUUAGGGAACAAUAUGCAAUUAUGCAGAUAAAAAACAUUUCUCUAAAUUUAACAACUGACACCCAAACAUUGCGGUACAGAGGAGACAAUCAAAUAAAUCCUCAUUAUUGAAAUAAAAAACAAUGCUUAGAUGCAACAACAAAUAUAAUACAGUUACCAAUUACAACCCUUUCAACAUCGAUCAUGGCCACAUACAACAAUCACAUUAAGAAACAUUUCUAAACCGACAUCCCAUAUGUUUAUUUUAAACAACCCAAUCAUAGAAUUAAAAUUUACAGUAAAAAAUCAUGAAUAUCUUGUUUGUUGGAUGUAAAUUGAAUUGCAUAUUCAAUGUAGUAACAUUGUACCUUAACUCAUUUUUCCAGUUCCAAAACACCGUUUCCAGAGGCAACAAGCAGCAAACUAGCGAAACCCUAAAUUUGAAUCUCCUUUGAACCUUAUCUUUAUGUGAUUUGGUUCAAAAACUGAAGGACAGUAAUUGCCUUGUAACUGUUUCCUAGUUUAGAGCAAAA
rnacentral:lncRNA from 1 species